rnacentral:rRNA from 1 species
AUUGAACGCUGGCGGCAGGCUUAACACAUGCAAGUCGAACGAGUGGCGGACGGGUGAGUAAUGUCUGGGAAACUGCCUGAUGGAGGGGGUUAACUCCUGGAAACGGUAGCUAAUACCGCAUACUAUCGUUUGUGCCCAGAUGGGAUUAGCUAUUUGGUGGGGUAAAGGCUCACCUAGGGGACGAUCCCUAGCUGGUCUGAGAGGAUGACCAGCCAGGCUGGAACUGAGACACGGUCCUGACUCAUAGGGUAGGCAGCAGUGGGGAAUAUUGCUCAAUUUGCGCAAGCCUGAUGGAGCCAUGCCGCGUGGAUGAAGAAGGCUUUCGGGUUGCAAGGUACUUUGAGCGGGGAGGCGUUACCCGCAGAAGAAGCACCGGCUAACUCCGUGCCAGCCGCCGCGGUAAUCC